GACGAACGCUGGCGGCGUGCUUAACACAUGCAAGUCGAACGGAAAGGCCCUGCUUUUGUGGGGUGCUCGAGUGGCGAACGGGUGAGUAACACGUGAGUAACCUGCCCUUGACUUUGUGAUAACUUCAGGAAACUGGGGCUAAUACCGGAUAGGAGCUCCUGCUGCAUGGUGGGGGUUGGAAAGUUUCGGCUGUUGGGGCUGGACUGGCGGCUUAUCAGCUUGUUGGUGGGGUAGUGGCUUACCACGGCUUUGACGGGUAGCCGGCCUGAGAGGGUGACCGGGCACAUUGCGACUGAGAUACGGAGCAGACGCCAACGGGAGGCAACAGUGGGGAAUAUGGCACAGUGGGCGGAAGCCAGAUGCGGAAGCGUUGCGUGCGGGAAGACGGCUUACGGGGUAUAAACCGAUGUGGAAUGUGCCGAAGAGUGAGUGACGGUAACGGGUCAAGAAGCAACGGCUAACUACGUG
rnacentral:rRNA from 1 species